rnacentral:lncRNA from 1 species
CUAAUUUUCUUCCAAAAAGAUAACAUUUAAGAAAGCACAUAGUUUAAACAGGAAAAACACUUUGCACAAUGUGACCCACUGAUCCAAGCCCGGGUAGUUCUCAUUGCCCGGGGAGAACAAGCAGAGCAUUGUUUCAGCGAUGAAAAGAAAAACAUCCUCUGAUUUUCCAAGUUUGUUCUGAACCAAAUUUUUGGUUGAAAUAGAAAGAUGUAUUUUUUUUCCUUUUCUUGCCACCCUUCUUUAUUUUUUAACCCAUUUUUUAAUGAAGCUAUCUAAGUGGAUGUUGAAACAGUGAAUGUUAAGAAAGAGUACAUUUCCUAUGUAAACAAACACAACCCGGCUUAGAGAGAGAGGAAAGCAGUCUUGUCAACCCGAAAGGAACCCAGCACAUGGUCUUUUACAUGCAUCGUUGGAUUGCAGUCUCAAGCCUGGGAUUCCAACGGAAUUAACGUCCAUUGAAAACUUACUGUGCUCAAGGCACAGAACGGGGUAGUUUUAUACACAUUCUCCCAUUUGGAUUUUUCAAAGACAACAUCUAAUCAUCCCCAGAGAAAUUUCAGCUGAGAAGACAGGAUGGUGAGACAGUUCCUAAGUCUUUCCUAGACACAAUUGUCUUUGCAAGUCCUCUGCCACAGUCAAAGAUGAAGUGCCCUGGGGGCCAGAGUCCAGACAAGUAUUUUGGCACCUCCAAGGACUCGCAGAACACAGAGAGGAAAAGAGAGACCCUGUUAUCUUUCCGCAGGGGUGGCCGUUCAAACUCUCAGAGAUGGAAGUUAAGAUUUCCUUUGGUAUAAGUGGCAGUUUGACUGGCUGCAAGGAGAGCCUCAGUUUGUUUAAUUUGGAGUAAAAUUUUAUGAGUUAAUCUCUAGUGAGGGAAAGCAGCAGUAAACACAGAACAUACUGGUCAUU